UACGUAGGGUGCAAGCGUUGUCCGGAAUUAUUGGGCGUAAAGAGCUCGUAGGCGGUUUGUCGCGUCUGCUGUGAAAACCCGUGGCUCAACUACGGGCUGGCGGUCGAUACGGGCAGGCUGGAGUUCGGUAGGGGAGACUGGAAUUCCUGGUGUAGCGGUGAGAUGCGCAGAUAUCAGGAGGAACACCGGUGGCGAAGGCGGGUCUCUGGGCCGAUACUGACGCUGAGGAGCGAAAGCGUGGGGAGCGAACAGG
rnacentral:rRNA from 1 species